UGCCAUCAGCCGCGGUAAUACGGAGGGGGUUAGCGUUGUUCGGAAUUACUGGGCGUAAAGCGUACGUAGGCGGACUGAUCAGUCAGAGGUGAAAUCCCAGGGCUCAACCCUGGAACUGCCUUUGAUACUGUCAGUCUUGAGUUCGAGAGAGGUGAGUGGAAUUCCAAGUGUAGAGGUGAAAUUCGUAGAUAUUUGAAAGAACACCGGUGGCGAAAGCGCUCUACUGGACCAUUACUGACACUCAGAGGCGAAAGCUAGGGUAGCAAAAGGGAUUAGAUA
rnacentral:rRNA from 1 species